AAAAACUGGAGUCUGAUAACCAGUCUAAAAAACAGGGCGUAACUGAAAAGCCUAAUGAGUAAGAAAAAA
rfam:Bacteroidetes bacterium GWF2_41_31 gwf2_scaffold_172, whole genome shotgun sequence.